rnacentral:rRNA from 1 species
CUUGCUUUUCUGAUGACGACCGGCGCACGGGUGCGUAACGCGUAUACAAUCUGCCUUAUACUGGGGUAUAGCCUUUAGAAAUGAAGAUUAAUCCCCCAUAGUCUCUUUUAAUGGCAUCAUUACAAGAGUAAAGGUUACGGUAUAAGAUGAGUAUGCGUUCUAUUAGUUUGUUGGUGAGGUAACGGCUCACCAAGACUGCGAUAGAUAGGGGCCCUGAGAGGGGGAUCCCCCACACUGGUACUGAGACACGGACCAGACUCCUACGGGAGGCAGCAGUGAGGAAUAUUGGACAAUGGAGGCAACUCUGAUCCAGCCAUGCCGCGUGCAGGAAGACUGCCCUAUGGGUUGUAAACUGCUUUUAUACAGGAAGAAACCUUGGUACGUGUACCAAGCUGACGGUACUGUAAGAAUAAGGAUCGG